ensembl:lncRNA
AUCUCACAAUCCCAGCAAGAGGAAAUGACUUAGGGACGAAGGCUUCAGAGGAGGAAAAAAAAAUAGAGGCUUCCAAUAAAAAUCAUUUCUAGAAGGAAUGAAGCUGUUAUUGGCAAGUCAACCAGUGAGAGAGACGACUUUGGAAAGAAAGAAGUUCUAUCUUCUAUCCACAUGUCUGUUAGAGAAUGUUUGCAGGUAUUUCCUGGGGGCUUCCCUGGUGGCUCAGAUGGUAAAGAGUCUGCCUGCAGUACAGGAGACCAGGGUUCGAUCCCUGGAUUUGGAAGAUCUGAUGGAGAAGGGAAUGGCUACCAACUCCAGUAUUCUUGCCUAGAGAAUUCCACAGACAGAGGAUCCUGGAGAGCCACAGUACACGGGAUUGCAAAGAGCUGGACAAGACUGACUAACACUAUUACCCUCCUACAGGGCAUCAGCUUGUGUCUGUGCGUAAGUCCUGGGGUCUUGGGUGUCAAAUGUCAGGCCUUGUACUGAGCUGUCAAAGAGAAGAAUGGGCUGAGAUGAUUGAUGACUGGGAGGCCUGAAACCCAAACCUCCACUGCAAAUGCUUCUUUUACAAAAAAGCUGGGGCUACCCACAGUGCCUGUAUUCAAGGUCACUUCGCAUGCCAUUACACCCACCGCGUUCGACUCCCAACAAGCCACGCCAUUCACACGGG